ensembl:misc_RNA Metazoa_SRP Metazoan signal recognition particle RNA
GCCGGGUGCGGUGGCUCACGCCUGUAAUCCCAGCACUUUGGGAGGCUGAGGUGGGUGGAUCACCUGAGGUCAGGAGUUCGAGACCAGCCUGACCAACAUGGAGAAACCCCAUCUCUA